AUCAAAGAAGAGUCCCAAAUCGGACGAAACGCGAGUCCUGGAU
rnacentral:hammerhead_ribozyme from 1 species